rnacentral:tRNA from 1 species
UAUAAGAAAGUGUUUUCUGCACAUAGACCUUUGAACUCUAAAGCGGAAGUUAAUCCUUCCUCUUAUA